GCUGGGCUUGGUAGCACGAGCUUGUAACCCAAGUGGGAGCAUUAAGAUGGUGGAAUGGUUGGCCAUUCCCUGAAGGUUGGGCCUUGGUUGCUAUCUACUGGCUUGCCCAUUCCAAGUGGUGAGUUGUGCUGUGGAUACUUUGCGAAGGCAGAGACUUCUUGGUCCUUAGAUUGGAGGGUACUGCGUGAGGCUGGCUUCACAGAGCAGCGAAAACCUCCUCCUCUCUACAGUGGAAGGAUAACGGGCUGGUGCAUCCUCUACCCAGUAGCGCCUGAAGGGUUGUCCAAAUUAAACCACCAGUUUU
rnacentral:SRP_RNA from 1 species